rnacentral:rRNA from 1 species
UACGUAGGGUGCGAGCGUUAAUCGGAAUUACUGGGCGUAAAGCGUGCGCAGGCGGUUGUGCAAGACAGAUGUGAAAUCCCCGGGCUCCAACCUGGGAAUUGCAUUUGUGACUGCACGGCUAGAGUGUGUCAGAGGGGGGUAGAAUUCCACGUGUAGCAGUGAAAUGCGUAGAGAUGUGGAGGAAUACCGAUGGCGAAGGCAGCCCCCUGGGAUAACACUGACGCUCAUGCACGAAAGCGUGGGGAGCAAACAGG